UGAAUAGAGAAGAGAGAAUAACUGGAGCAUAACAGCCCUGGAAAAGGAAGGCUUCUCCUGGGAGUUCAACCUUAAUAAGUUACUAGCCAAGAAAAACCUCUGGCUCAAGCUUGGCUUAUAGAGAAUGUGACCUAUGUCAGUGGUACCAAGAAUGACCUCAGGAAGCAGGCUUCAAAGAUGGGAUUCUGGAGCUAAGAUCACUUGCAGGAGGGACUGCUUUAAGGAAGGACCCAAUCACUGGUGAUUUUUGAAGAUGGCAAUGUAAUUUGCAGAAGAAAACUAUACACCAAUCAAAAAGCACUGAUGGACUGCUACUGGGCUCUCCUGGACACAGAGCAUCUAACCACAGAAAUCAAGUGAUAAUGCUAUCAGAGAUAACCUUCACAAGUGAGAAAAUUAAAGCCUCCAGAUUGUGACUAUGCCAG